rnacentral:rRNA from 1 species
CCGGCGACCGGCGGACGGGUGCGUAACGCGUAUGUAACCUACCUUUGACAGGGGGAUAACAUCGAGAAAUUGGUACUAAUACCCCAUAACAUCACCGGAGGCAUCUUCGGUGGUUGAAAACUCAGAUGGUCAGAGAUGGACAUGCGUUGUAUUAGCUAGUUGGUGAGGUAACGGCUCACCAAGGCGACGAUACAUAGGGGGACUGAGAGGUCAACCCCCCACAUUGGUACUGAGACACGGACCAAACUCCUACGGAAGGCAGCAG